rnacentral:rRNA from 1 species
GAUGAACGCUGGCGGCGUGCCUAAUACAUGCAAGUCGAGCGAAUGGACGAGAAGCUUGCUUCUCUGAUGUUAGCGGCGGACGGGUGAGUAACACGUGGAUAACCUACCUAUAAGACUGGGAUAACUUCGGGAAACCGGAGCUAAUACCGGAUAAUAUUUUGAACCGCAUGGUUCAAAAGUGAAAGACGGUCUUGCUGUCACUUAUAGAUGGAUCCGCGCUGCAUUAGCUAGUUGGUAAGGUAACGGCUUACCAAGGCAACGAUGCAUAGCCGACCUGAGAGGGUGAUCGGCCACACUGGACCUGAGACACGGUCCAGACUCCUACGGGAGGCAGCAGUAGGGAAUCUUCCGCAAUGGGCGAAAGCCUGACGGAGCAACGCCGCGUGAGUGAUGAAGGUCUUCGGAUCGUAAAACUCUGUUAUUAGGGAAGAACAUAUGUGUAAGUAACUGUGCACAUCUUGACGGUACCUAAUCAGAAAGCCACGGCUAACUACGUG